rnacentral:ncRNA from 2 species
UGAUAGCUGCAAGGUGAUGGUUUCCCGAUACGGACCUGUCCGCCGGGAAAAAGGGAAUGCGGUGCGGCGCCCUACGAUGCGCCAAAUCCGCAACUGCCCCCGCAACUGUGAGCGGAGAGCAGCGCCGAUCAUGCCACUGCGACAGAUCGCGGGAAGGCCGGCGCUUGUGAGGACCCGCAAGUCAGGAGACCUGCCAUCGCAUCGCAACCCGA